UAGCUCAGUCGGUAAAGAAUCUGUCUGCAAUGCAGGAGACCCGGGUUCGAUUCCUGG
rnacentral:tRNA from 1 species